AAGUCACUUUUGGGGGCUACCGUAAACGUUGAAGCUGUUGCCUUGUAUGUGGAGCAGAUUCCGUAGUAGGAGAUACCAGUAGAGCAGGCUACUAAAAUUGUGGCUAAUGUGAGAAGCUCUCUCGUUUUACCUUUUAUAGGUUAACAACAUUCUGGUAUUUCAGACAGCUUCAAGACAAAAACUGACACUCUCAGCUAUCAGCAAAAAAAAAAGAAAGUCCAAAGCCCCUUGAAGCAUAUGAUUAAUAUUUAUUUCUGUGCAUCUCUCUCAAAUUCAGCAGGUGCUUCUGUGCUUUCUGAGGCCGCUUCAUUCAAGAAGGGGAUCUUUUUAAUUUCCUUGCUGUUUCGGUUGUAGGUAGGCUUCCCUUGAAUCUUGAAAUCCUAGUUCUAUGGAUAGAUUUUCUGACUGAGGUGAGGGCAGCCGACUGCUUUCCCCGUCUGACUUUGCGCCGCCUUCUUCCCUAUCCACAAGUGUUCUUGCGAGCCAGAAAUGAUCGCGCGUGCUGAUUCCUAAGUUCCUUGCUGGACAGCUGUCCUGAGCUCAGCCUUCCCACCUGCCUUUAAUAACUCCAGCCUCUUCUCGAAAACACGACGUUUGGAGAAAUGUAAAGACGGAUUCCGAGUGCUAACGUGGGGAUUUUAGUAUGUGCCUUUGUUCAAGUGUAAUGUAGCAGCGCCUGCACUGAACCAAUCUUGGAUUAUUUCUAAUGUUGGCUCAAAAUGCGUAUUUUUUUCCUUAAAACUACUGUGGGUCAUUCCGCAAGGAGAGAGUUCGUUAAAAAGGGGGGUGGGGAGAGGGAACACCUUUUUAAAACGGAGUCUUUGUGAUUCCACAGUUUAUGAUGGUUAUAUUCCAAAGCCUGGAAAAGCUUUCGUCUUUAUUUUUCAAGUGUUCUUCACAAAAUAAAAAGUCAUUUCUAGA